rnacentral:piRNA from 1 species
UGACUAAACGUUAACUAUUAC